rnacentral:rRNA from 1 species
UACGUAAGUGGCGAGCGUUAUCCGGAAUUACUGGGCGUAAAGCGUGCGUAGGCGGUUUAGUGUGUGGGAUUUGAAAGCCCGGGGCUCAACUCCGGAUCCGGAUCCCAAACUGCUAGACUCGAGAGUAUCAGAGGAGAGCGGAAUUCCCGGUGUAGCGGUAAUAUGCGUAGAUAUCGGGAAGAACACCCGUGGCUAAGGCGGCUCUCUAGUACGGUACUGACGCUGAGACGCGAAAGCGUGGGGAGCGAACAGG